rnacentral:rRNA from 1 species
UACGUAGGGUGCAAGCGUUGUCCGGAAUUAUUGGGCGUAAAAGAGCUCGUAGGCGGUUUUGUUGCGUCGGCUGUGAAAUCCCCGAGGCUCAACCUCGGGUCUGCAGUCGAUACGAGCAAACUAGAGUGUUGCAGGGGAGACUGGAAUUCCUGGUGAUAGCGGGCUGGAAAUACGCAGAUAUCAGGAGGAACACCGGUGGCGAAGGCGGGUCUCUGGGCCGAUACUGACGCUGAGGAGCGAAAGCGUGGGGAGCGAACAGG